rnacentral:rRNA from 1 species
AGGGUUCGAUUCUGGCUCAGGAUUAACGCUGGCGGCGUGCCUAAUACAUGCAAGUCGAAUGGUAGCAAUACCAUGGCGAACGGGUGAGUAACACGUAGGUAACCUGUCUUUAAGACGAGGAUAACCGUUGGAAACGACGGAUAAUACUCGAUAGGUGAUUUUUAGGGCAUCCUAGGAUCAUUAAAGAUUUAUCACUUAGAGAGGGGCCUGCGGCGCAUUAGCUAGAUGGCGGGGUAAUAGCCCACCAUGGCGAUGAUGCGUAGCCGGACUGAGAGGUUGAACGGCCACAAUGGAACUGAGAACGGUCCAUACUCCUACGGGAGGCAGCAGUAGGGAAUUUUCGGCAAUGGGCGAAAGCCCUGACCGAGCAACGCCGCGUGAACGAAGAAGUAUUUCGGUAUGUAAAGUUCUUUUAUUAGGGAAGAAAAAUAUCCAAAUUGACGGUACCUAAUGAAUAAGCUCCGGCUAACUACGUGCCAGCCGCCGC